UGGGAUAGCUCAGUCGGUAGAGCAUGAGACUCUUAAUCUCAGGGUUGUGGGUCCUGCCCCAUUUGAAUAA